CUUCUUUCAUUAAUACACAGUUAUUCUUUUUGAGCUGUAGUGUUUUGCAAUUUGUAAAAUUUCUCUCAGUGGUCAUGCAAUUAACAAUAUUAGCUUUCCCCAUUGGAGAUUUGUGAGAGAAUUAAUAAAGUAUUCCAUGCCACAACUGGUCACUACAAUUGGAAAUAGCUAAGCAACCUUGGUUUCAUAACAUAACAACAUGUACUAUUUGAAAACUACAAUAAUAAGAUUUUACCAAAUACUGCUUGUUAGAGGCUGGUCUAAAUAGCAAUGCUAUUCUGAACAAAUCUAUCCAAAGCAUAUUUUUUUUCGUUCCAUAAUGUAAAAAUCUCUAGGUUAUCUACUACAUUGGAUGGAUUAUUUCUUGGAUAACUUUCAAUGUUGAUAGUUUAGUUACACACUAUUGUAACACUAUGAAAGAUUUUAAAAUGAGAAAGCUCCUCAACUUCAUCAACCCACCUAGUUCACAGCUGUUUAACCUUGGGAACAUUGCUUAACCAAUGUCCUUUGUUAUAUGUUAUAACCAGGCUUUUUCCUUAAUAGAAAUGACUUCAGUCGGUCAUUAGGGUACUUCCUCAUUUGUGUGACUAUCUGAUUGUCUUCCCUGCCUGGGCUUCUGAAGCACAUGAGCUCAAGGACUGAAGCUUCUUACUCUUCAUUGCAUCUCCAGGGUCCUGCAUAUUGUCUUACUUUGUAGUAGCUCAAUAAAUAAUUAGUAGUUAUUUGGUAUUAAAGACUUAUCUAUACUCAUAUGUAACAGAUAUUAUUUCUUUAGACCAUCAGUCUUGGGAGCCAGUCAGAAUGUGUAUUAGUAGUUAUUUUGUGCCUCAGUCCCCAAAAUUUCUUCCUCUAGUUCAAAUAAAGGAGGACUGAUUGCUUGGAAACUUCCCAACUGCCAUAUUCCUUCUGUUAAAAUGUGGUUGCUUUGACAUUCUCUGAUUAACCUCCAGAGUAGCCCUGAGAACCCACAGGCCAUGGCUGCUGCAGCAGGUGGAGCUCCCACCUCCCCUGGACAUGGGGUGCCUCACUUCACAUGAAGCUGCCUUCACCAAGGAGAAGGGAGCUGUCAGAUGCCUGCAGAGUCAACCUUCUCCUCCAUGUCCAUACUUUUCUGCUUCCACUCCCUGUAAACCCAGCAGACCCUCCAUAGCUAGGGACUGCUGAAAUAUUGUAUUUAUCUCAUCCUAUGCUACAAAUAGGCUCCUUGGAGACAGGGUUGUCAUUUUUCUAUAUUCAUUGUCUAACUUGAUGACAUACAUUUUUAUGCCUGUAACAAAUGAUGCUAACAAAGCAUAUUUGAGAGAGAUUUUCCUACUUCUGUGUCCAGGGACUUGGGGCUUUCAGGUCUAUUUCUUCUGGUAAACUAAAAUUCUCCAGAGCCUAUCACCUAAAGGUUUACCUAAGCACACUGUUUCCACCGCUUCUGAAGUCAUUUUGUGGGUUGUUUCUGACUGUUCUCAACUCAGCCCAGCCUAAGAAUUUUCUUUCCCUCUCCCUCUGUGUCCUCCCUCCUUCCCUUCUGGAUCCUCUGCCUGGCCAGCCAGGUGUCUCCCACUCCCUGGCAUAAUUUCCUGUGGGAGAGAGGAAGAGGACUUUUGACUACAAAAGUGUGAACUCAUAUCUUAAAAUGUGACAUCAAGAAAUAUACAGAGGCAAUGUUUUGCAUCAAAUUGUUUCUACAUUUAGUAUUGUUGCUAUUUCUUUGAGGUUAUAGAUAUAAAAUACACGAAGACUUUUACAAGUUUAAAAUUAAAAGAUAUGUAAACCAGGUCUUGGAUUCACAUUAUCUUGGGCCAUCUGUACAGUUUGAAUUCAUUUUUUCAUUAAUAGGAAAACUUUGUUUUAGACCUCAAGAACACUGGCCAUCCCUGUCAUUUUCAUCUAAUCAUUUGAUUCCUUUAUCCUUAUUUUUUUUUACAGUAUAAUCCACUUAAUUGAAUUAAUUAAAUCUUUAAUUUUAUCCUCUGUAGAGAGGAUGAACGAUUUGGUAGUUGCCUUCAAGCUUUUAACAAGAUUUUUGGUAGUUGUUUGUUUGUUUGUUUGUUUCUAGUUUAUGAGAAGCAAACAGAAUUUGCUGAGAGGAAACUGUUGAUAACAAGACUGGGCAUGUAGCAUGGCAGAGCUUUGGGCUCUCGGACCCACACCAGCUAUUUAACCUUGGGAACAUUGCUUAACUCUCUGGUCUAAAUUUUUCAUCUGUAAGAUGCAAAUGUCAAUAGUACUAUUUUGUAGAGUUGCUAUAAGGAUUGAAUGAGAUAAUGAUUGUAAAAAAAAAACAAACAAAGUAUCAAACAGCUCCUUCAAGUCUUCGUUUUCAGAAAAGGAACCCUAUUUCCUAGACAAUCUGACCAAUCCAGUUCUUUCUCUUGCUUUAAUCUCCUGAUUAACUGAAACGAUUCCACUUUGUCAUAGCUAGCUUAUUUAUUUAUUUAUUAUUUAAUAAAUAAGCUAGCUUAUUUAUUUAGUGGAAGCAGAAGUGGCAUAAAUAUUUCCAACCAUACGUAAACUUUUUUUAAAAACCCACAAAAAAUGGGAGAUUAGAGCAGUCAAGUAAAUUGUCAUAUGCCUCAUUGUCAUGAAGUUGCAGCAGGAACAUGGCUCUCCUUGAAUCCUAAAAUGCACUCUUGUCAUAACCUCAUCAAACUGCCUUGUAUUCGGCAAAUGUUUCAAUAAAUCUGUUACUCUCCGGGAAGUCCUAAAUGUGUUUAUCCCUUCUGAGGGCAGAUUUCCUGGGCCAUACACAAUGAACCUGUCCCAGGGCCUCAAGCAGGCUGGUUUUCUUUUCCUACUAGAUCUAACUUUGCCCCUGCUGGUUUUAUAACUGUGCUGUCAAUAAUUGACAUCACUCCUUUUUGCAUGAUUAUAUUUUGUAUAACUGUACUCUUUAAUAUCUAUUUAGCUUCAACAUGUACAACAGAUACAUUAAUUUCUGAAAGUCAUUUAGUAAAUGUUUACUGGUUUUCUAAUAUGUAGUCUCUGUUGUUUAGCUUUCAGAAAUGAUUUGGAAGAACCAAGGUAAAAAGGUGGCCUUAGGAGCAGCAUAAGAGGGAAGGGUUUUAGGAAAAUAUGUGUGUUGAGAAGGAGUAAGAAAUCAGAUUGGAUUCCUGGGCAAGAUGGCAGAAUAGGAACAGCUCCGGUCUGUAGCUCCCAGUGAGACCAACGCAAAAGUGGCACCUAGAAUGCCAGCAAGAGAGAACUGUUCACUCCCUUGGAAAGGGGGCUGAAGCCAGGGAGCCAAGUGGUCAUGCUCAGCGGAUCCCACCCCCACAGAGGCCAACACGGUAAGAUCCACUGUCUUGAAAUUCUCACUGGCAGCACAGCAGUCUGAAGUUGACCUGGGACAUUCAAGCUUGGUGGAGGGAAGGACAUCUGCCAUUAAUGAGGCUCGAGUAGGUGGUUUUCCUCUCACAAUGUAAACAACGUCCCCUGGAAGUUUGGGCUUGGUGGAGCCCACUGCAAUGCCACAAAGCUGCUGUAGCCAGGCUGCCUCUCUAGAUUUCUCCUCUCUGGGCAGGGCAUCUCUGAAAAAAAGGCAGAAGCCUCAGUCAGGGUCUUAUAGAAAAAACUCCCAUCUCCCUGGGACAGAGCACCUGGGGGAAGUGGGGCUGUGGGCACAGCUUCAGGAUACUUAAACAUUUUUGCCUGCAAACUCUGAAGGGAGCAGCAGAUCUCCCAGCACAGUGCUCGAGCUGUGGUAAGGGACAGACUGCCUCCUCAAGUGGGUCCGUGAUCACUGUGCCUCCUGACUGGGAGACACCUCCCAGCAGAGAUCAACAGACACCUUAUACAGGAGAACUCUGGCUGCCAUCUGGUGGGUGCCCCUCUGGGACGUAGCUUCCAGAGGAAGGAGUGGGCAUCAAUCUUUGCUGAUCUGCAGCCUCUGCUGCUGAUACCCAGGCAAACAGGGUCUGGAGUGGACCUCUAGUGAACUCCAGCAGACCUGCAGAAGAGGGGCCUGACUGUUAGAAGGAAAACUAACAAACAGAAAGCAAUAGCAUCAACUUCAACAAAAAGGAUAACAACACAAAACUUCAUCUGAAGGUCACCAACAGCAAAGACCAAAGGUAAAUAAAUCCAAGAAGAUGAGGAAAAACCAGUGCAAAAAGACUGAAAAUUCCAAAAACCAGAAUGCCUCUUCUCUUCCAAAGGAUCACAACUCCUCACAAGCAAAGGAACAAAACUGUAUGGAGAAUAGGUUUGAUUAAUUGACAGAAGUAGGCUUCAGAAGAUGGGUUAUAGCAAACUCCUCCGAGCUAAAGGAGCAUGUUCUAACCCAAAGCAAGGAAGUUAGGAGCCUUGAUAAAAGGUUAGAGGAAUUGCUAACUAGC